AUCAACUCUACCAACCAAUACCUUAGAUUUUGCUAGAGUYGUGUCCAAGCUUUUGUAGUUUUGUUCAUUGUGUUUAUUUGUCAGUCUAUAAUUGUAGUGUUCAGGACACAAUUAAUCCGACAAUCCGCUGAUUGGAAACGUAUUUUCUUCCGGACUGCUAAGCUUGUGUGGGAAGGUACUGUGUUCUAAACUCCAUAAAUAAGGCUGUUACGGAGACCUACGAACAGACCACCCGAUAGCUAUUCAAGCACGAACAACUCUUUCAAGCAGCGAAAAGAUUCUUAUUAGCUUAUAGUUCAGGAUGAAUAGUGGAAAAAUCGCAUUUCUUUUAGUCCUUAGUAUCAUAGUGGUAUCAACUAUAGUCCAAGACGUUGAUGGAGUAAUUUCCACUCUAACAGUGAACAGACCCAAAGUGCAGAAGCCAAAAAAGGCGGGAAGGAAGGCGACUGGGACGUCGUUUCGCGGUCGACGACCCGCAAAGUAUAUUCGACCGACCAACCCGAUAUCCCAACGAAUAAGAUGGCGACAUAUGGAAGGACCUUACGAGAUUUACAAUAUUUGAUAAACGAUUUCUAGCCAUUGAAAGUAAGAGCAAAACAUUUCUGAAAAACGUACGGUCUUGAAUCAAAGAUAUUUUUAUUAGAACAAUCGAUUUGUGGAAAAACGCUUUGGCAAUUGCGGAAUCAAGAACCGAAGAAACAAGAUUGAUUGAUGAUGAUUCUUAUUUCUAUAAAAAAAAUGAAGGAAAACUUAAAUCAUUUACUAAUGGGGUUGCUUCUGCUUCCUUUCUCUCUUAUGAAAGAGGAGCAGUUAUGAUACGACGAAUGAAAAAAUGGCAGUACAAUGAUUGUAAAUCUUCUGAAAGAAAAUAAAAGAUGCUUGAACCAAAGCUUAA